rnacentral:rRNA from 1 species
CAACAGCGUAUAUUAAAGUUGUUGCAGUUAAAACGCUCGUAGUCGGAUUUCGGGGCGGGCGGGCCGGUCUGCCGAUGGGUAUGCACUGGUCUGGCCGUCCUUCCUUCCGGAGACCGUGCGUGCUCUUAACUGAGUGCGCUCGGGAGACGGAUCGUUUACUUUGAAAAAAUCAGAGUGUUUCAAGCAGGCAGCUUGCUCUUGCAUGGAUUAGCAUGGGAUAAUGAAAUAGGACUUUGGUGCUAUUUUGUUGGUUUCGAACACCGAAGUAAUGAUUAACAGGGACAGUCAGGGGCACUCGUAUUCCGCCGAGAGAGGUGAAAUUCUCAGACCAGCGGAAGACGAACCACUGCGAAAGCAUUUGCCAGGGAUGUUUUCACUGA